GAUGAGUCUUUGGUCCUCUCCUGCUGUUGAGCGUUGGGCAUCAUGGAGGACAGCAACAAUGGAACGGUUUCAAGUGGGAUGUUCAUUCUCGGCUCCUACAUGAAGAAACCUGUCUGUGUGGAUCACAGCGCCACCACAGUGUUCCACUUGUCAACAAGUACUUUGAAGGUGACCAUCAAUCUACAAGAGUCUUGCUUCAUACCGGGUCACUCCUUCAUCGUGCCAUGUGGCCACACCUACAGCAUUCACAACCUCACCACUCUGCCUGCAGCCCUCUUCUUCACCAGGAUACAAGUCCAGGCUGAUGGAGACGUAUGCAGAUGUACAUUUUGUGUAUCUUUGGUGACUACAGUUGUUUAGUUUUGUCAUAGUUUUGUAAAUAGUUCACUUUUCUGUGAAGCAGUUCUGUCUUUCAGUGUUGUGUUUAUACAGAAUAGGACUUUUUACUGCAUAUCAUUUUGGUAAAAGUCAAGGUUUUAUUGUUAUUAAGUUGUC